rnacentral:rRNA from 1 species
AUCCAGACUCCUACGGGAGGCAGCCGUGGGGAAUAUUGGACAAUGGGGGAACCCCUGACCCAGCGCCUCCUCGUGAGGGCAGCAGGUUUUCGGAUUGUCCACCUCUGUCCUUUUUGACGAUACUGCCGGUAGCCACUUCUUCAGCCACGUCUCCCUACGUGCCCGCCGCCGCGGUAAUCCGUCGGUGGCGAUCUUUGUCCGGAAUUCCUUUGUGUAAAGGGAGCGUAGGCGGGAGAGCAAGUCGACUGGGAAAUCUAGGGGAGUAACCCAUAGCUGCGAUCGAAACUGUUCAUCUUGAGUGAAGUAGAGGCAGGCGGAAUUCCUAGUGUAGCGGUGAAAUGCGUAAAGAUGAGGAGGAACACCAGUGGCGAAGGCGGCCGGCUGGGCUUUAACUGACGCUGAGGCUCGAAAGCGUGGUUAGCAAACAGGAUUAGAUACCCCCGUAA